rnacentral:rRNA from 1 species
CUAACUGGAGGACCGAACCGACUAAUGUUGAAAAAUUAGCGGAUGACUUGUGGCUGGGGGUGAAAGGCCAAUCAAACCGGGAGAUAGCUGGUUCUCCCCGAAAGCUAUUUAGGUAGCGCCUCGUGAACUCAUCUUCGGGGGUAGAGCACUGUUUCGACUAGGGGGUCAUCCCGACUUACCAACUCGAUGCAAACUACGAAUACCGAAGAAUGUUAUCACGGGAGACACACGGCGGGUGCUAACGUUCGUCGUGAA